CCCUUGUUUCAUGCUUUAUGCUGUCUCUCCAUCAUUCUCAAGAAAUAUGGCUAGUGUGAUCAAUUUAUCCUGCUACCAUCAUCAUCAUAUUCAUCUUCUUAGUCCUAGGUUUUGCUCCUUAUCUUAUCAUCUUAGAAAAUUUUAUCUCAAUGUUUGGCUGUUUCUUGUCCCUGCCCCAUUUUGCUGUUUUUGCUUUGCCUGCCCAGACCUUUCUUGUUGCCCUUGCAUCCUUUGGUAUGUUUGUCUAGUUCUUAGACUUGCAGCAUCUAGCUGAUGUUGGGUAAAAUGUACUUUUUAUUUUUUUUAGUUUGUUGAAAAUGUUAUUUUCGAUUUGUACUCAUUCUGUUUUUCUGUUUAGUAAUCAGACUAGAGUAAAUCAUAUCUGCUUUAUUUUACUGAUUUAGUAAUUCUUUACUGGACUUGUUUAUUCAGUUGCUGCUGAUUUCUGCAUUUCUCUUUUGAGGUAUUGGUUAAAUGCAGGGGGAAAUUAAUAUCCACCAACUUUUUACUGGCUAUACAAAUGGUCGUAGGGAUUGGCUUGCUUGGCCACAGAUAUUGAAAUUAAAAGAUUGGCCUCCUUCUAAUUUAUUUGAGGAACAAUUGCCUCGUCAUUGUGCUGAGUUCAUAUCUUCCUUACCCUUCAAGGAAUAUACUGAUCCUCACAAAGGUUCUCUUAACCUUGCUGUGAAGUUGCCUAAUGGUUCUCUAAAGCCAGACCUGGGGCCAAAAACAUAUAUUGCUUAUGGAUUUCCUCAGGAGCUUGGACGUGGUGAUUCAGUGACUAAGCUCCAUUGUGAUAUGUCUGAUGCAGUAAAUGUGUUGACUCAUAUUGCAGAAGUGAAACUGGAUUCUGAUCAACUUACUGUCAUUGAGAAGUUGAAGCAAAAGCAUCUCGAGAAAGAGAAAAGGGAGCUACUUGGUGAUGAUCAGGAUGGAGAAACUAAUGUUGACAUGCUUAAUAUAAUUCAUCUUCUACAAUAAAUGCUUUGGACAGGCAAAGUAGUGUUGAAGUCAUGGAACAAGAAGGUGGAUUAUGUGAUGGGAAAGAAGUUGAUCAGUUUCAUCAACCGUCUGGUAGUAAUGAGGUUGCCAUUGCUAAUGAGGAUGGUAUUUCAUAUGGAUCAGAGCUCAUAGAGGUUGACAAAGUAAAAAUAAAUCAAGGUGAUUUGUUGUUUGGGGGGGAUGCUUCAGAUGGUGCUCUCUGGGAUACUUUUUGGAGACAGGAUGUCCCUAAGUUGCAGGAAUAUCUGAAGAAGAAUUUCAGAGAGUUUAGGCAUGUCCAUUGCUGUCGUUUAAAGCAGGGAUGAUUGACUUUUGGAUGUAUAGUUGGAUCAUGCCAAUGAAUUAUCAAACUCCCUGAAAGAAAGUGCCAAUAUUAACACUGUUUGGGCAUCGCUUAUUGUUGAAGAAUGCACAAGACUUGGUUUGAUGGUGAGAUGAUCUGAUAAAUAUUACAUAUGCACCAAUAUUAAUGCAUGAUUCUGAUUUAUUCUUUUGUUUAGUAUUUGUGUAUUGCUCCUGGAUCUAGACCUUCCCCUGUUGCUGUUGCUGCUGCAAGUCACAAAUUAAUCACAUGUAUUUCAUGCUUCGAUGAGCAUUCACUUGCAUAUGAUGCUGUUGCAUAUGGAAGAGGAUCUCACAUUCCAGCAGUAUCCAUUACAUCAUCAGGCACUGCAAUUUCCAACCUUCUUCCUGCUUUAUGUUUCAUUAUUUUCAUGAAUUUAUUUUAGGGUAAAAUACAUUUUUGGUCCCCCUAUAAUGCUCAAUCUGCAAUUUUGGUCUCCUACAUACUUUUAUUUUUCACUCAAUGUUUGACCAUGGAUAAUCAAUUAACGGUCAACUAACAGAAGAACCAAAAUCGCUGAUUUUGAAAAAUAGGGGGACCAAAAUUGCGGAUUGAGCAUUAUAGGGGACCAAUAGUGUAUUUUAGCCUUUAUUUUAUUUUGAAUGUGUGAUGAUUUAUUAAUUUCAUUCCUGUGACUUGGUUUGUUGUCAUUCUGUAUGCUGUUGCUAAUACAUGCAUUAUUGGAGUUCAA